rnacentral:rRNA from 1 species
AGAGUUUGAUCCUGGCUCAGGAUGAACGCUGGCGGCGUGCUUAACACAUGCAAGUCGAACGGACUCAUAUUGAAACCUAUUGAUUUAUGAGUUAGUGGCGGACGGGUGAGUAACGCGUGAAAAACCUGCCGUAUACCGGGGGAUAACACUUAAAAAUAGGUGCUAAUACCGCAUAAGCGCACAGCUUCGCAUGAAGCAGUGUGAAAAACUCCGGUGGUAUAUGAUGGUUCCGCGUCUGAUUAGCUAGUUGGCGGGGUAACGGCCCACCAAGGCAGCGAUCAGUAGCCGGCCUGAGAGGGUGAACGGCCACAUUGGGACUGACACACCGCCCAACCUCCUACGGGAGGCAGCAGUGGGGAAUAUUGCACAGUGGGGGAAACCCUGAUGCACCGCCGCCGCGUGAGUGAAAAAGUAUUUCGGUACGUAAAGCUCUAUCAGCAGGAAAAAAAAUGACGGUACCUGACUAAGACGCCCCGGCUAACUACGUGCCAGCAGCCGCGGUAAUACGUAGGGGGCAAGCGUUAUCCGUAUUUACUGUGUGUAAAGGGAGCGUACACGGCAGCGCAUGUCUGGAGUGAAGUGCCGGGGCCCCCCCCCCCGGAUCUGCUUUUGGAUACUGUGCAUCUUGAGUGCGGGAGAGGUAAGUGGAAUUCCUAGUGUAGCGGUGAGAUGCGUAGAUAUUAGGGAGGAACCCCAGUGGAGGAAGGCUGUCUUACUGCACCGUAACUGAUGUUGGAGGCCCGAAGGCGUGGGGAAGCAAACAGGAUUAAAAUCCCCUGGUCCUCCACCGCCGUAAACAAAUGAAUUAUCAGGGUGGCUGGGGAAGACCCG